UCCCUGGUAGUCUAAUGGUUAGGAUUCGGCGCUCUCACCGCCGCGGUCGGGGUUCGAUUCCCCGCUAGGGAG
rfam:Helobdella robusta unplaced genomic scaffold HELROscaffold_1, whole genome shotgun sequence.